rnacentral:rRNA from 1 species
AGAGUUUGAUCCUGGCUCAGAUUGAACGCUGGCGGCAUGCCUAACACAUGCAAGUCGAACGGUAACAGACCGCUGUGAUCCCUUCGGGGUGAACUUGGUGCUGACGAGUGGCGAACGGGUGAGUAAUACUUAGGAAUCUACCCAGUAGUGGGGGACAACCCGGGGAAACCCGGGCUAAUACCGCAUACGCCCUACGGGGGAAAGCGGAGGAUCUUCGGACUUCGCGCUAUUGGAUGAGCCUACGUCGGAUUAGCUUGUUGGUGAGGUAAAGGCUCACCAAGGCGACGAUCCGUAGCUGGUCUGAGAGGACGACCAGCCACACUGGGACUGAGACACGGCCCAGACUCCUACGGGAGGCAGCAGUGGGGAAUAUUGGACAAUGGGCGCAAGCCUGAUCCAGCAAUGCCGCGUGUGUGAAGAAGGCCUGCGGGUUGUAAAGCACUUUCAGCAGGGAAGAUGGGGAGAGUAGUUAAUACCUGCUUUCCUUGACGUCACCUGAAGAAGAAGCACCGGCUAAUUCCGUGCCAGCAGCCGCGGUAAUACGGAAGGUGCGAGCGUUAAUCGGAAUUACUGGGCGUAAAGAGUACGUAGGCGGCUUGGUAUGUCGGAUGUAAAAGCCCCGGGCUCAACCUGGGAAUGUCAUUCGAAACUGCCAGACUAGAGUUCGGUAGAGGAAAGCGGAAUUCCCGGUGUAGCGGU